UAAUAAUUCAAAAUCUCAAAAUCAAUCCAUUGCUGCGUGUGUAUAUAUACAUCACGGAAUUCACUAAUUACCAUAAUUAAUGUACACAUUAUAUGUUAUAAUUAUAAAUAGUCACAAACGCCACUAGACAUUUAAUUUUGCUUAACGCUAUUUGCAGCGAAAUCGUCAUUAUUAUUGGUCUCUGGUGCACGAUAAACGUCUACUAUGAAGAUAUAUUUAUUGUUUAUAUUCGAAGUUGUCUUAACACAGGUUAUAGACAAGCCAACUCAGGUGAGGGUGUCGCUAUAUGAACCCGAGGGGUUGUUUGUUCAGUGGAGAAUUGUAGAAAAUUUUCAAGUAAAUCCAAUUGUUGGAUAUAAGAUAAGAGUGUGGAAAAUCGAGGAGGAACUACAUGGCUCCUAUACAUUGUUAAGUGGGGAACAACUUGCUAUAAUUUCGGAUGAAAGAUCUGUUGAGCCUUAUAAUAUUGAAGUUCCGAAACAUCCACCUCGAGAAUAUACCACUCCUAACAUAGAUAUAAAUAAUGACUUAAGCAUCAAAAUAACAGAUGGAAUAAAGUACAAUACACUAUAUGAAGUACGUGUUCUGGCAUACAGGAAGGACCUCGAUGGACCAACGUCUCACCCCAUUAGAGUGAAAAUAGUAAAAGGAGAUGGUUAUACAGUGCUAGCUCAGAAGACAUCCUCAAACAACUGUGCAAUCUCGAGUAUUGGUGAAACGACACCUGAAAAUGGUGUUCAAUAUUAUUUUAUUGAAACUGUUAAUUUGUGAAAUAAGAUUGUUAAGCUUUGUUUAUUUUUAAUAAUUGUUAAACUCUAACUGAAUUUAAAAUGAUUAAAUAAAUCACCCUCAAUAUAUGUAACACAGAUAAUAUAUAUUAACACUACAGGGAAAUGCCUAACAUGAACCAAAAGAUCUGAACUUAAAAAUUAUAAGCCAAGUAGAAUCUUUAGUUCAAACACAACAACACAAGCGUUCGAACAGUAUUUGCGGUCACGGAAAGUCCAAUGACAUUUAUCGUGUUGAUAUGAACAAGGCAACAUGAAACGAGUUCUUGUGUUUAUAAUUUGUGCUGGGUUUGUGAUAGAAAAAGAUAUACCAAAUAUUGAAAGUGUAAUAACGUUGUCGGACGGAUUGCUUAUUGAGUGGAGUUGGAAAGGCAACGCUGAUUCUAUAGAUGGUUUUAAAAUAAAAGUCUGGAUUGUUGAAAGCCAACAACAAGGAUAUUUUAAGUUAGUGAAUGGAGACCAAAUACCUGGAUUAACUUUGAAUCACAACGCUUUAGAGGAAUUUGACCAAGAAAAACUACCAAAAAGCAAACCCAGGAUAAUUGUUAUAUCUGAUGCCGAAGCAAGAGAAGUGAAAAUAGAUGGUAUAAAGUAUAACAAAAUGCAUGAAAUAAGAAUACUGACAUACGACGGCCGU